AAUGAACGCUGGCGGCGCGCCUAAUACAUGCAAGUCGAGCGAGAAGACGUAGCAAUACGUUUGUAAAGCGGCGAACGGGUGAGGAAUACAUGGGUAACCUACCCUUGAGUGGGGAAUAACUAGCCGAAAGGUUAGCUAAUACCGCGUACGCUCCUUGGACUUCGGUUCAGGGAGGAAAGCGAUACCGUGGGUAUCGCGCUCUUGGUUGGGCUCAUGUCCUAUCAGCUUGUUGGCGAGGUAACGGCCCACCAAGGCUUCGACGGGUAGCUGGUCUGAGAGGACGACCGGCCACACUGGGACUGAGACACGGCCCAGACUCCUACGGGAGGCAGCAGUGGGGAAUCUUGCGCAAUGGGCGAAAGCCUGACGCAGCGACGCCGCGUGAGGGAUGACGGCCUGGUU
rnacentral:rRNA from 1 species